rnacentral:rRNA from 1 species
UACGUAGGGGGCAAGCGUUGUCCGGAUUUAUUGGGCGUAAAGAGCGUGUAGGCGGCCUGAAAGGUCAGCUGUGAAACUCGGAGGCUCAACCCUCGAGACGUCGGUUGAAACCAUCUGGCUAGAGUCCGGAAGAGGAGUGUGGAAUUCCCGGUGUAGGCGGUGAAAUGCGCAGAUAUCGGGAGGAACACCUGUGGCGAAAGCGGCUCACUGGACCGCAACUGACGCUGAGGCGCGAAAGCUAGGGGAGCAAACAGG